rnacentral:rRNA from 1 species
UACGGAGGGUGCAAGCGUUGUCCGGAUUUAUUGGGUUUAAAGGGUGCGUAGGCGGCCGUUUAAGUCUGGGGUGAAAGCCCGUUGCUCAACAACGGAACUGCCCUGGAAACUGGAUGGCUUGAGUACAGACGAGGGUGGCGGAAUGGAUGGUGUAGCGGUGAAAUGCAUAGAUACCAUCCAGAACCCCGAUUGCGAAGGCAGCUGCCUAGACUGUAACUGACGCUGAGGCACGAAAGCGUGGGGAGCGAACAGG